GUUGGAUAGGAGGAGAUGAGGAACUGUGCUCCAGGCAGAGGGAACAGUAUGUUCUAAAGCUUGGAAACAGGAAGGAGAUUUGCAUUAGUCCAAGGUCUUUUAGUUACUAGGAAUAGAGGCGAGAGGAUCAAAACAUUCUCUCCUUUUCGUGGAUCUAGAGCUUGCUGCGAGGCCCCCUGUAAAAGGCUAAGUUAGUCUUUGGUGUGCUGCCACGGCCCCUUCUGUACUUUUCUCCUUCUAGUGUCCCCUUCUCCAUGCAGCCGAUGUUCUGCUGUUCAUCCGAGCCCCCUGGGGCACUCCAUGGGCCAGGCAUGUUUCAACCCUUGAAGCUCUAUGUACUUCCAAAUUACUCACCUUUGUUUCCACCCCAUCAGAAUUUUUAGUCCCUCAGAGCAGCUGUUCCUAGCUAGGCUGCAAGAGAGCAACUAUCUGAUUAAAUAUACUUUUACUAAAGUGUGACAGACUAUUCACCUCUCUGAAGUUUCAGAAUCUUAAGAGGAUACUUCUUAAACCACGGUUUGUUAAAGACUCCAAGUACAACGACUCAGGACCUGCUCCAAUGGAGCACAUUCAGAAAAAGGAGUGCAGGCAAAUUGCUCUUUCUCCCCUUUGCUGCCUUGGUGCCUACUUAACACUGUUGACAGCCACCAGAGCACUUCCUACAUUUUACCGACACCGUCAAACAAGUAGCAGGUUAUUGAUCGGGACUUGCAAGGAAACUUCACCUUCCUAAUCUCUGGCUAAAAGGGAGUUGGGCCAUCAAGAAAGUUCAAGGUGGAUGUAUGCUGAGCUAUAAACUGCAGACGGGUUGCCACAUGUGUGCUGUCAGAUCCAGAGAGCUGGAGUGUCUCCCAUUGGCAAAUUCAACCAGAAGCCAGUGAACACAGAUGUUUGCGGAAUUGUAUAUAGCCUGUGGUCAACCUGCCUGCGAUGCAGAGCAGAGCGGGGGAAGGGAACAGAGGGAAUCUGAGACAAACAGGUCACAACCAGGCUCAAUGACCACUGGAGUCCCUUCAAGUCCACAAACAACAGGGCAGAGUGCAAAGUAUGCAGGCCCUAGUGAGAGCCAAGAACAUCAGAGGUGGGAUGAUGAUGCUUGUGGCUACGAGACAGGAUUUCAAGGAUCCUGCUGAAACGUCUGCUGGCCUGAAUCUGUCGGAAUGCUGAAAAGGACUUUGUGUCACUCUAACUGAAAGGAAAACACAAAAUGAUGAUAAUGUAGCCCUUUAUGCUUUUCAGAACCCUUUCACAUACAUUAUCUCAUUUAAACUUCGUGACAAUGGUGUGCAGCAGAUAGGGCUAGGAGUACAGUCAAUCUCAUUUUAGAGAUGAAGAAACAGAGGUCUGAGAGUUCCAUACCUUCCCCGGGUCCAAGAAGUUAUUACCAAAGCUGCACCUGGGU